rnacentral:lncRNA from 1 species
CCGAGCAGUCCGGGCCCCCCAGGACCGCUUGGCCCAUGACAACCGUUAUGGUUGUCAUGCCCUGAUGGCGGCCCUGUGAGGCACUAAUAUUAAAUUAAAAGUUAGGUUCAUUUGAGACUAUCCUGGCAGCUUUUACAUUUCUAAGAAUAUUUGACAUUACUACUCCAGUGUCAGAUUGCUUAGCAGUCCCUUAUGCAGGUGUGGCGAGUGAUUCAGGAUGCUACAAACCAUUUAGCAAAUAUUUCAAGAGACUUUUAGGAGUCUAUGAAUCUGCAAUUGGUUUCAUUUAUCAGAAGUGGGAGGCGUAGCAUCUGGAGGCGUAGUAUCUUGAAGUAUGUAUAUAUAACUUUUUAGGAACUUAAGUACAGCUCCAACUUGUAUGCUUGAGCGGAAUGAUCUUGCUUAAGGAUAUAGUGGAGUACAAACACUGCAGGAAAUUCUUGUAGUAAUAGCUUUUCUUGCGGAUAUGUGGGAAAAAUCAGAGGUACAUAGUGCAGUAUGCUAGACUUUCUUCCACAUAUCUGCAUUACUACAAUAAUUUCUUACAGAGCUUGUGAGAGAGACCCCGGAUUUGGUGGUUAAGCUGCCCUCUGGACUGAAACAAGUACUGGAUAAGCGCUGAAUCCCUUCCUGCUUUUUUACCACCUGAAUGAAAAACUAGUUGUCGAAAACAUUGCAAUCAGUAAAUCUUUCACUGAACUUAGCUCAACAAGAUGUAUAGAUCCUGCAGACCAGCAAAACUACGUUGACGUUUCAUGCUACGCUGCCAUCUGUGAAAGUUUGGGAAAGUAUGAAAACCAGGUUUGCCACUGAUGGCAAACUUUACAUGCUGAUUGCAUGUUUUGACCCAAACCAUUUUGAGGAAAUAUUGGCUUCUCUUGAAAUAAAUACAGCUGUAUGUCAUUUCUGCAGCUGUUUCUAAAAUCGAUGGUCUAGUACUUCAUGAAGAAUUGCUUUCAUUCGCAUCUAGCUUCAAUAAUCUCUCCAAAGGGCUGUUUGACAAUGAUGACGCAACAUUGAGCUCUGCUACAGAGGAAGAACCUGACUUCUGUGAUUCUGAGACAUCAGCUUGUAAACCUUCUGUGGAAAAAAAUCUGAUGUAAAAAUUGUACAUCUUGGAUUAGAACAAAGGCAGGACAGAGGUGGGGCCAUGGGUGAGGUCUGGCAUGGGGCUCUGAGGGUCGUCAAGCUUCCCCAACUUUGAGCACUAUUCGCUCAUUCUGAUGGUUUGUAAAAAAUGGAAACAUUUAUCAAAUAAAGCUAGGCAUUUAUCCUGAAGUAAAGAAAACCCAAGAGUGUAGUGAGACUGAUCUUAAUGACUACAAAAUUAUUAAAAACAGGAAGAAAUAAAAAAAUGAUCAUACUCUGCAUAAACCUACCACAAUGUAACUAUACCCCAUUGUAGGUCUUGUUCUGACAAUCCAAUGCAUGCUUAUAUUAAUAACCCAAUUUACAUGGGAUAUCCAAUUACCAAAGGUCUCUCUGCGGUGUUUAAAUGGACACUAUAGCUUAUUGAAUUUGUUCUGAUGUGUAGAAUCAUUACCUUCAGGCCUUCUGCUGUAAGCACUGUCUUUUCAGAGAAAAUGCAGUGUUUACAUUACUGCCUAGUGAUAACUUCACUGGCCACUCCUCAGAUGGCUGCCUAAAAUACAUCCAAACAUUGUGUCUCCACCCUCUGCAUGCAGACACUGAACUUUCCUCCUAGAGAUUCGUUGAUUCAGUUCAUCUCUAUGAGCAGAUGCUGAUUAGCCAGGGAUGUGUUUGAAUCACGCUGGCUCUGCCCCUGAUCUGCCUCUUUGUCAGUCCCAGCCAAUCAUAUGGAGAAGCACUUUGAUUGGAUCAGGCCACCACCUCUAAUGAUGUCAGCAGACUGCUUGUUUUUCUGAGGCAAACAGCAUGCAGAGCUACAGCUUCAGGCUUGAAUACAGUAAGAUGUUGCUAUAUUUAUGGAGGCAUGAGGGGCCCAGGGGGACUAGAUGGUGGUGUUAACACUAUAGGGUCAGGAAU